CACGUAGGGCGCAAGCGUUGUCCGGAAUUACUGGGCGUAAAGGGCUCGUAGGCGGCCAACUAAGUCAGACGUGAAAUCCCUCGGCUUAACCGGGGAACUGCAUCUGAUACUGGAUGGCUUGAGUUCGGGAGAGGGAUGCGGAAUUCCAGGUGUAGCGGUGAAAUGCGUAGAUAUCUGGAGGAACACCGGUGGCGAAGGCGGCAUCCUGGACCGACACUGACGCUGAGGAGCGAAAGCCAGGGGAGCAAACGGG
rnacentral:rRNA from 1 species